AGGAUUUGAUCCUGGUCCAGGAUGAAUGCUGGCAGCGUGGAUUAGGCAUACAAGUUGAACGAUCUAGUUAAGUUUUCGCAAGAAAAUUUAACUAGAUAGUAGCGAACGGGCUUUUAUUACCUUGGUAACAUACCCUGAAGUGGGGCAUAGCUCAUCGAAAGAUGAGGUAAUUCCCCAUAGUCUGAUAAUCAGUUAGAUUAUCAGUAAAGACGCAAGUCGCUUCAGGAUUGGCUUAGGUCUUAUCAGCUAGUUGGUAGGGUAAUGGCCUACCAAGGCUAUGACAAGUAGGGGGUGUGAGAGCAUGACCCCCAGCAAGGGCACUGAGACACGGGCCCUACUCCUACGGGAGGCAGUAGCCGAGAAUCUUUGGCAAUGGGCGAAAGCCUGACCGAGCGACGCUGCGUGUGGGAAGAAGGUCUUCGGAUCGUAAACCACUUUUCUCGUUGAGGAAGCCGGUUUUUACCGGUUGACGUUAGACGAGGAAUAAGGGACUGCUAACUACGUGCCAGCAGCCGCGGUAAUACGUAGGUCCCGAGCAUUAUCCGGAUUUAUUGGGCGUAAAGCGUCCUUAGGUGGUCCGGCCACUUUAGUGGACUUGCUUCUCUAUAUUUUAUAGUUAAGCAAGCAAGUUCUAAGUUAAAGACCAGAGCUUAACUCUGGAAGUGCUUAGAAUACUGACGGACUUGAGGGAGAAAGAAGUGAGUGGAACACACGGUGUAGGGGUGAAAUCCGUUGAUAUCGUGUGGAACACCGAAAGCGAAAGCAACUCACUAGGGCUUACCUGACACUCAAAGACGAAAGCGUGGGGAGCAAAAAGGAUUAGAUACCCUUGUAGUCCACGCCCUAAACUAUGGAUGCUAACUAUUGGUAGUAUCGACCCUAUCAGUGGUGAAGUUAACGCGUUAAGCAUCCCGCCUGGGAAGUACGGCCGCAAGGCUAAAACUCAAAGGAAUAGACCGGAGCUCGCACAAGCGGUGGAACAUGAGGUUAAUUCGAAGGCAAACGAAGAAC
rnacentral:rRNA from 1 species